GGCCUGGCGAGGUUCGGUGGGCCCCAAUGGCCCUUAGGGGACCAGGGUCCCUGCACCCGCUCCUCAGGGCUAGCGUGUGGGGAGAGACAGGGCGUCCAUGAACCGAAGAGCCACUAAUCAAAGAAAAUGACAGUGAAGGCCCCCACGUCUGGAGGCUGGGGCCUCGAGAAUGAGCUAAGGGAGCAGAGAAUGUAUUUGAGCAUGGAGUGGGGGGCUCCUUUCACCGAGGAGUUAGCGCCCACUGUCGGACACCCAGCUCACAGAUGUAGCCCAGCAAUCAAUCAGCUUUCUCUUCACUGUGGAUUACAGCGAGAAGCCAGCCAUCACCGGCAGGGAAGUCCAGCACAACGAGCACAGACAAAGCCGACAGCCAUGCAGCCAUUGUGGGGAAGAAGCCAGCACUGCUGGGACCCCAGAAGCAGCGCCCCACCCUUGAGUCCUGCCUCCCUCUCUC
rnacentral:lncRNA from 1 species